rnacentral:rRNA from 1 species
AUACGUAGGUGGCAAGCGUUGUCCGGGUUUACUGGGUGUAAAGGGCGUGUAGGCGGAGAUGCAAGUCAGGAGUGAAAUCUAGGGGCUCAACCCCUAAACUGCUUUUGAAACUGUAUCCCUUGAGUAUCGGAGGGGCAGGCGGAAUUCCUAGUGUAGCGGUGAAAUGCGUAGAUAUUAGGGGGAACACCAGUGGCGAAGGCGGCCUGCUGGACGACAACUGACGCUGAGGCGCGAAAGCGUGGGGAGCAAACAGGAUUAGAUACCCUGGUAGUCCACGCUGUAAACGAUGAAUACUAGGUGUGGGGGGACUGACCCCCUCCGUGCCGCAGUUAACACAAUAAGUAUUCCACCUGGGGAGUACGAUCGCAAGAUUGAAACUCAAAGGAAUUGACGGGG